rnacentral:lncRNA from 1 species
UGUCUUAAUUCGGUCCUCAGUUAAACUGGCGGUGGGCGCUGCUUUUUUUCCAGGGAAGGAUUCUGGAAGACAUAGGAGGAGACGCCAGCAUUUCGCCCUCCAGCACCUCCUGCGGGCUGUGGUCCGCUUCCGGCCUCACUCGAGCAGACCCCGCCCUCCCAGAGGCCGUUUGUCCAAGUCACGUGAUCGUCGAAUCUGUUGACCUGGCGCCACCGGAAAAAGAAAUUCCCGGGCCCUGGCUUCUUGGCCUGAUGGUGAGGCACCAGAGGCACUGCUAGCCUUGAAGCCUCCAGCCUGCUGGAUGCCUCCAUCCCCGGCUAUGCUGUGGCUCUCCUCAUUCUAGGCCUCCUGCUCGUCACAUUCACCCUUGUCCUGGUGCUAAAGUGGAGGGCCUCCCAUGGGGUGUUCAGCCUGGGUGUGUAGAAGCACACAGUGUGGUACAGAGGACCCUCUCCAGACAGGUGACCCCUCAUGCUGCUGCUCCCUCUGCUGAAACCCAAACUGCAAACCUCUCCUCUCCCUGCCUUCACCUUGCCCCACGGCUUCCACAGACAGUGCCUCAACCCCGAGGAAUGAAUCCGAAGUUCCAACACCACUGACUUUCCCAGGAACUCAGAGCCAGAGAGGGCCAAGGACCAGCUCGAGGACACACAGCCAGGGCUUCUUCCCUCCGAAACCCCCAAGGACUGGACUUGCAGGGCUGGGACAGAGGUGGGGUGGGGGAAAGCAAUGCCUUGUCAACCCACGUGGGGAGCCCCACUCCCAUCCCCAAGGUGCAUAAAGUUGAGGAACACCCCUGCU